rnacentral:rRNA from 1 species
AUGAGCUACCUCCUCUCCUACAUCUCCAAGAUGCUCUGCAUCAAGACGCCGUCGUCGGAGGAGGCGGCGGCGAAGCAGCCGGCGGCCGGCGAGGAGUGCUGCGUCUGCCUCUCGAGGAUCCGCGCCGGCGAGGCCACGCGGCGGCUCCCGUGCGAGCACGCCUUCCACCGGGACUGCGUCGACCGGUGGCUCGCGCUCUGCAAGCGGACGUGCCCGCUCUGCCGGGUGUACGUCGCCGACGGCGGCAGGCAGGCCGCGGCCAAGCACGCCGGCGAGGGCGCCCUAGCCGACGACCUCGUGAUCUGGUUCUCCACCAUGCUCGUCCCAGGAUUCUGA